UCCCCGUUAUCCGGGGCAGUUUCGCCAGAGUGCCCAACUGAAUGAUGGCAACUGGCAAUAAGGGUUGCGCUCGUUGCGGGACUUAACCCAACAUCUCACGACACGAGCUGACGACAACCAUGCACCACCUGUCACUCUGUCCCCCGAAGGGGGACGUCCUAUCUCUAGGAGUGUCAGAGGAUGUCAAGACCUGGUAAGGUUCUUCGCGUUGCUUCGAAUUAAACCACAUGCUCCACCGCUUGUGCGGGCCCCCGUCAACUCCUUUGAGUUUCAGCCUUGCGGCCGUACUCCCCAGGCGGGGUACUUAUUGCGUUAGCGACGGCACCGAAGGGGUCGCUCCCCCCGACGCCUAGUACCCAUCGUUUACGGCGUGGACUAC
rnacentral:misc_RNA from 1 species